UACGUAGGGGGCAAGCGUUGUCCGGAUUUAUUGGGCGUAAAGAGCGUGUAGGCGGCCAUACAGGUCCGUUGUGAAAACUGGAGGCUUAACCUCCAGACGUCGAUGGAAACCGUAUGGCUAGAGUCCGGAAGAGGAGAGUGGAAUUCCUGGUGUAGCGGUGAAAUGCGCAGAUAUCAGGAAGAACACCGACGGCGAAGGCAGCUCGCUGGGACGGUACUGACGCUGAGGCGCGAAAGCGUGGGGAGCGAACAGG
rnacentral:rRNA from 1 species